rnacentral:rRNA from 1 species
UACGAGGGGUGCAAGCGUUGCUCGGAAUUAUUGGGCGUAAAGGGUAGGUAGGUGGUCUCAUUUGUCUGGGGUGAAAGCCUUGAGCUUAACUCAAGAAGUGCCCUAGAAACGGUGAGACUGGAGUCCUGGAGAGGGUCGUGGAAUUCCCGGUAUAGCGGUGAAAUGCGUAGAGAUCGGGAGGAACACCAGCGGCGAAGGCGGCGACCUGGACAGGUACUGACGCUGAGACGCGAAAGCGUGGGGAGCAAACAGG